rnacentral:lncRNA from 1 species
CUAGAAUGAAGUUGGCUGGACAUAAAGUUUACUGGACCUCAAGUAGUCUGUGUCACCCGACGGGAGUCAGAAACGUCAUUUUUGUGCGGACCGGCGACUCGACGGACCCCGGCCGAGGACGCCGCUCGAACCGCGGUUGCGGAGGAGCGCGCCGAUACGAGUCGGAGACGGCUCGUACAGUCGGCGCACGAGAGCGGUCCGGACGAAGACAUUCGGGAACCGAGGACGAAGACGCUCGUCGACUGCGGACGAAGACACCGGUCGACGCGCGAGGAAGAUGCUCCGGAACACGGGAAGAACGCCACACUCCCGAGUGCGGGAAGACACUCGUCAACGCAGAAGGAGACACGCAUCAAUGUCGGGCCGGCGCGAUUGUUUUAAAGACGAUUUAACGUGUAAAAUGAAUGUACGUGUUGUUUGUAACGAUUGUUAUAAUGUUUGUAGUAUUGUUUUUAGAGACCGACUCUGCGAAGGCGGAGGAAGUCGAUACAUGUCGAGAAUGAAUUUAUUGAAGAUGUUGCCUGUGAUCACUAGGUGUUUGCACUAAUUUGGGGAGAUGAUUACGAUCGUAGAACGUCACGGAAUGCGGCGCGCAUCCGUAAAUAACGGCAGCAUAAAUACGAGAGAACGCGGUGGCGGCGGCGGGGAAGUGCGCCUUUUGAAAGUAAAAGAACGGGGGAGAUCGGACCGACAUAGAUGGUGUUGUUGUGGUAACCGAUAAGAAUGGAGAAAUGAUGACUAUUUGGUGGGUUUUUUAGGACAGAGAGAGUAGUUAUAUAUUAGUGAAGAUAUAAAGUAAAAGGUGAUAAGGAUGGUGGUGGGGGGGGGACAACGAAUGAUAUAUUUUGUAGGGUAUUAAAGGAAUUGACUCGUCGGUGCCGAGUCGGCGUAAUUGUGAGAAACGGAUGCGACGGGGAUUGUAAAGAAGUCGCGCGGUAGAGGAAUUGGCGGAAGCGACGAUCGCAAUAACCUUUCGACGUGGGACGGACGACGACGAAUUUAGUAAAUGGCGGUUUAGGAAAGGGUCGUACGUAAAGCGGCGGGUGCGGA